AUUGAACGCUGGCGGCAGGCCUAACACAUGCAAGUCGAGCGGAUGAAGGGAGCUUGCUCCUGGAUUCAGCGGCGGACGGGUGAGUAAUGCCUAGGAAUCUGCCUGGUAGUGGGGGAUAACGUCCGGAAACGGGCGCUAAUACCGCAUACGUCCUGAGGGAGAAAGUGGGGGAUCUUCGGACCUCACGCUAUCAGAUGAGCCUAGGUCGGAUUAGCUAGUUGGUGGGGUAAAGGCCUACCAAGGCGACGAUCCGUAACUGGUCUGAGAGGAUGAUAAGUCACACUGGAACUGAGACACGGUCCAGACGACUACGGGAGGCAGCAGUGGGGAAUAUUGGACAAUGGGCGAAAGCCUGAUCCAGCCAGGCCGCGUGUGUGAAGAAGGUCUUCGGAUUGUAAAGCACUUUAAGUUGGGAGGAAGGGCAGUAAGUUAAUACCUUGCUGUUUUGACGGUACCAACAGAAGAAGCACCGGCUAACUUCGUG
rnacentral:rRNA from 1 species